rnacentral:rRNA from 2 species
CCAUGAUUCAGCGGCGGACGGGUGAGUAAUGCCUAGGAAUCUGCCUGGUAGUGGGGGACAACGUUNGCGAAAGGAACGCUAAUACCGCAUACGUCCUACGGGAGAAAGUGGGGGAUCUUCGGACCUCACGCUAUCAGAUGAGCCUAGGUCGGAUUAGCCUAGUUUGGGGGAGGUAAAGGCUCACCAAGGCGACGAUCCGUAACUGGUCUGAGAGGAUGAUCAGUCCCCCCUGGGAACUGAGACCCGGUUCCAGACUCCUACCGGGAACGCAGCAGUGGGGGAAUAUUGGACAAUGGGGCGAAAGCCUGAUCCAAGCCAUGCCGCGUGGUGUGAAGAAAGGUCUUCCGGAUUGUAAAACCCUUUUAGUUGGGAGGAAGGGCAGUAAAGUUAAUACCUUGCUGGUUUUGACGUUACCAACAAAUAAGCACCGGCUUACUUYCUGCCACCAACCGCGGAAUACAAAGGUGCCAGCGUUAUCGGAAUUCUGGGCGUAAACCCCCGUAG